rnacentral:rRNA from 1 species
AGAGUUUGAUCCUGGCUCAGAACUAACGCUAGCGGCGCAUAUUAAGCAUGCAAGUCGAACGGUAAGGCAUCCUUCGGGGUGUACACGAGUGGCGAACGGGUGCGUAACACGUGGUUACCUGCCUACUGCUUUGGGACAACCUCCAGAAAUGGUGGCUAAUACCGAAUACGACCUACGGGUGAAAGAUUUAUCGGCAGUAGAGUGGACUGCGGCCUAUUAGCUUGUUGGUGGGGUAAAUGCCUACCAAGGCGAUGAUGGGUAGCCGGCCUGAGAGGGUGAUCGGCCACAUUGGGACUGAGACACGGCCCAGACUCCUACGGGAGGCAGCAGCUAAGAAUAUUCCGCAAUGGGCGCAAGCCUGACGGAGUGACGCCGCGUGAGUGAUGAAGGCCUUAUUGGGUUGUAAAGCUCUUUUCUUUGGGAAGAAGGUUAUAUGUAGAUAUGAUUGACGGUACCAGAGGAAUAAGCCCCGGCUAAUUACGUGCCAGCAGCCGCGGUAAUACGUAAGGGGCGAGCGUUGUUCGGAAUUAUUGGGCGUAAAGGGUGCGUAGGCGGCUUUAUAAGUGUGUCUGUAAAUACCGGGGCUUAACUUCGGAAAUCGGACGCAAACUGUCGAGCUAGAGUCCGCGAGGGGUUGGUGGAAUUCCUGGUGUAGCAGUGAAAUGUAUAGAUAUCAGGAGGAACACCCGUGGCGAAGGCGACCAACUGGCGCUGGACUGACGCUGAGGCACGAAAGCUAGGGGAGCAAACAGGAUUAGAUACCCUGGUAGUCCUAGCAGUAAACGUUGUCUACUAGGUGGCGGUUGAGUCGAUCCGAUCGCUGCCCAAGCUAACGCAUUAAGUAGACCGCCUGGGGAGUAUGCGCGCAAGCGUGAAACUCAAAGGAAUUGACGGGGACCCGCACAAGCGGUGGAGCAUGUGGUUUAAUUCGAUAAUAAGCGAGGAACCUUACCUGGGCUUGACAUGUACCGGACAGUCGGUGAAAGUCGAUCUCCCUUCGGGGCUGGUGCACAGGUGCUGCAUGGCUGUCGUCAGCUCGUGUCGUGAGAUGUUGGGUUAAGUCCCGCAACGAGCGCAACCCUCGUUUGCUGUUGCUAACAGUUCGGCUGAGGACUCAGCAGAGACUGCCUUCGAAAGAAGGAGGAAGGUGGGGAUGACGUCAAGUCCUCAUGGCCCUUAUGUCCAGGGCGACACACGUGCUACAAUGGGUGGUACAAAGUGAAGCGAACCGGUGACGGGAAGCCAAUCGCAGAAAGCCACUCUCAGUUCGGAUUGGAGUCUGAAACCCGACUCCAUGAAGGUGGAAUCGCUAGUAAUCGCGUAUCAGCCAUGUCGCGGUGAGUACGUUCCCGGGUCUUGUACACACCGCCCGUCACACCACCCGAAUUGGUCAGGCCCGAAGUCAGAUG